GAUGAGCGCUGGCGGCGUGCUUAACACAUGCAAGUCGAACGGUGAAGCUCCAGCUUGCUGGAGUGGAUCAGUGGCGAACGGGUGAGUAACACGUGAGCAACCUGCCCCUGACUCUGGGAUAACAGCCGGAAACGGCUGCUAAUACCGGAUAUGCACCAUGAACGCAUGUUCUGUGGUGGGAAAGAUUUUUCGGUUGGGGAUGGGCUCGCGGCCUAUCAGCUUGUUGGUGAGGUAAUGGCUCACCAAGGCGUCGACGGGUAGCCGGCCUGAGAGGGUGACCGGCCACACUGGGACUGAGACACGGCCCAGACUCCUACGGGAGGCAGCAGUGGGGAAUAUUGCACAAUGGGCGAAAGCCUGAUGCAGCAACGCCGCGUGAGGGAUGACGGCCUUCGGGUUGUAAACCUCUUUUAGCAGGGAAGAAGCGAGAGUGACGGUACCUGCAGAAAAAGCGCCGGCUAACUACGUG
rnacentral:rRNA from 1 species